GGCCGGAUAAGGUGCUUGCACCGCAUCCGGCAACAUUGUGAUGCCUGAUGACGACGCGAUUGCGUCUUAUCAGGCC
rfam:Salmonella enterica subsp. enterica serovar Newport str. S09097 S_Newport_S09097_mira454_c261, whole genome shotgun sequence.